rnacentral:rRNA from 1 species
CCUACGGGGGGCAGCAGUAGGGAAUCUUCCACAAUGGGCGAAAGCCUGAUGGAGCAACGCCGCGUGGGUGAAGAAGGUCUUCGGAUCGUAAAACCCUGUUGUUAGAGAAGAAAGUGCGUGAGAGUAACUGUUCACGUUUCGACGGUAUCUAACCAGAAAGCCACGGCUAACUACGUGCCAGCAGCCGCGGUAAUACGUAGGUGGCAAGAGUUAUCCGGAUUUAUUGGGCGUAAAGGGAACGCAGGCGGUCUUUUAAGUCUGAUGUGAAAGGCUUCGGCUUAACCGGAGUAGUGCAUGGGAAACUGGGAGACUUGAGUGCAGAAGAGGAGAGUGGAACUCCAUGUGUAGCGGUGAAAUGCGUAGAUAUAUGGAAGAACACCAGUGGCGAAAGCGGCUCUCUGGUCUGUAACUGACGCUGAGGUUCGAAGGCGUGGGUAGCAAACAGGAUUAGAUACCCGAGUAGUC